rnacentral:rRNA from 1 species
UACGUAGGGAGCGAGCGUUGUCCGGAUUCAUUGGGCGUAAAGAGCUCGUAGGCGGCUUGGUAAGUCGGAUGUGAAACCUCCAGGCUCAACCUGGAGUCGCCAUCCGAUACUGCUAUGGCUAGAGUCCGGUAGGGGCCCACGGAAUUCCUGGUGUAGCGGUGAAAUGCGCAGAUAUCAGGAGGAACACCAGUGGCGAAGGCGGCCUUCUGGACCAGUACUGACGCUCAUGCACGAAAGCGUGGGGAGCAAACAGG